GCAGUACUGGAGACAGGUGG
rnacentral:miRNA from 1 species